CAGCCGCCACGGUAAUACGAAGGGGGCUAGCGUUGCUCGGAAUCACUGGGCGCAAAGGGUGCGUAGGCGGGUCUUUAAGUCAGGGGUGAAAUCCUGGAGCUCAACUCCAGAACUGCCCUUGAUACUGAAGAUCUUGAGUUCGGGAGAGGUGAGUGGAACUGCGAGUGUAGAGGUGAAAUUCGUAGAUAUUCGCAAGAACACCAGUGGCGAAGGCGGCUCACUGGCCCGAUACUGACGCUGAGGCACGAAAGCGUGGGGAGCAAACAGGAUUAGAUACCCGAGUAGUCCCUGUCUCUUAUAC
rnacentral:rRNA from 1 species